rnacentral:rRNA from 1 species
CCUACCAUGCAAGUCAAGGCGUAGCCGAAAGGCUACGACUGGCGCACGGGUGAGUAACGCGUAGGUAACCUACCCCUACCCCUGACAUAACACCGAGAAAUCGGUGCUAAUAUCAGAUGAGGAGCCGAAAGGCUUCAAAGGGGCAACCCGGGUAGGGAUGGGCCUGCGUCCGAUUAGGUAGUUGGUAGGGUAAAAGCCUACCAAGCCGACGAUCGGUAGCUGGCCUGAGAGGGUGGUCAGCCACACUGGGACUGAGACACGGCCCAGACUCCUACGGGAGGCAGCAGUGAGGAAUAUUGGGCAAUGGGCGAAAGCCUGACCCAGCGACGCCGCGUGUGGGAUGACGGAGCUCUGCUUCGUAAACCACUGUCGGAGGGGAAGAAAAGCUCCCACGGGGAGCUGGGACUGUACCCUCAGAGGAAGGAUCGGCUAACUACGUGCCAGCAGCCGCGGUAAAACGUAGGAUCCGAGCGUUGUCCGGAAUCACUGGGUGUAAAGGGUGCGUAGGCGGGCUUGCGCGUCAAGGGUUAAAGACCUCGGCUCAACCGAGGCAAUGCCCUUGAUACGGCAAGUCUUGAGUGCGGGAGAGGAUGGUGGAAUUCCUGGUGUAGCGGUGAAAUGCGUAGAGAUCAGGAGGAACACCGAAGGCGAAGGCAGCCAUCUGGACCGUCACUGACGCUGA